GGUCCUGUAGUGUAGUCCGGCCCAUCAUGCUGCGCUUUCGACGCGGCGACCCGGGUUCAAAUCCCGGCGGGACCA
rnacentral:tRNA from 1 species